UGAAUGAUAGGGCUCUUCCCAUGUACCCAUUAGGCUGUUGUGGAGGUGAAAAUAUAAACUUGGCCACCUUCAGACCCCAGGAGGCUUGGUGACUCUACUCCAGGAAACCCUAGCUGGUGGUGCCCUCUGCCCCCUGCUGAGAAUCUGGGUGCCUUAAUCUGGAGACCCAAGCCUGGCUCGAUGUUUCUUUUUCUCUGUUGUCCUGGGCCAGCUUCCCUGCCCCUAACUAAACUCUCAGCUGUGUCUGAGGGGGAACCAUACCUCAAUCAUUUCUGCAGCUGAGUUCCCUCCCCCUCCUCCCCACUGCCGACUUUCCCACCCUGUGCCCUUUCUGGGCUAGCACCAAACCUGAUCCCUAGUAGGAAUGCAGUAAUUGUUACUUACAUAUACAGCAUUUUAAAAUAUAACCAGUAUUUGUUAUUAUCUCAAUGUCUCCAGCUUUUGUCUGUUUUGAAGGGGCCUCCCUGGAGAGGACCCUGAGACAAGAAUUCUGGGGCCGGUGGUGUUUUUAGGAGAUGACACUAGAAAGCACCAGGAAGGGAGUGGAGGGUAGGUAGUGAAGGGUGCAUGGUCGAGACAGUGUUACUAUGGCAACUCUGGGGGCUGGUGUAGAACAUGCCUCAUUGUGACCUCACACAAGGAAAAAGAGAGCCAGGGUUGACCUCUCCCAGUACCCACUGAUGUUGGAGGUCUUCGGGAGGAUGUGAGCACUGGUUGACCCCAGAGCCGGACCCAGGCAAUUGGAGGUUCCACAUGCCCUAUCCAUUCUUGGAAUGUACAUUCUACUCACCCCUCCCACAGUGGGAGAUGUUUUCAAGGACACAGUGGGAGGGAGCAAUGUGUAAUUGAGACUAUCUGGAUGGCAUAUGUGAUGGAGUCCCAUUAAGAUCUCUCUGUAAACUAUUAAGAUUCUUGCAGGUGCUGGCCUCGUGGUUGCCCAAGGGCAUCAAAGUUAUUAUGUAUGGAACCCUAACCUCAAAGGAUUACUCUGGAGAUUUCCUUUUAAGCUGUUAAAAGGACUGAAGGAGCUCACUCAGGACACGCACGUGGUUGGGGUGGAAUUUGGUGUUUCCCACUGUCCUUUUUAGUGGGGUGUCUCACAGCAUCCUUGGGAGAUACACUGCAGUGGAACAGUCCUUUAAGGAACACAGAGGUAGAAGAACCUUGGCUCCUUGGCAAUCAGUGGUGAAGGCAGAGCAACAGGUCUUGCGAUGGGUCCUGGAGCUGUCCAGCGUUCUGAAACAGCCCACUAUGAGCCUGGCUUAGUGAAUCCAGCUGUAGGCAAUUACAGACUCAUGCUUCAGGAAGCUUCUGCUCUGGCUUUCUGCCUCAAGUGCACUUGGGAACGUGAAAUACAUGGGUAACUGUUAGUAACUGUAAGCAAACUCUCACAUUUUGCCGUGUGCUGUGUUGGAAGCAAGGGAUUGGUGUGGCAGUUCACAAAACCUCGCAAGGGAAGUUGUUUCCUGGCAAAGAAUCGGGCACAAAGAAACACCAGUAUAAGAAGAAGGAGAAGAAGACAGGGGAAGAAAGGAGCCAAUAAAGGUGAGAUGUUCUCAACUUGGAGUCCUGCCUUGAAGCCCAUUUGCCCUUAUCGUUGCCUGGAGACAUUGCACCAAAGUUACUAAGCUCCUUGUGUCUCAUCAUCAGAGGAAACUCCUCCCAGAUUCACUCAGCGGCUUGGCAACUAAGUUUCCAGCUUUUAUGAAUGUACAGGCACAGUGACAAGAAAAGACAUCCCUGAAAUAUCACCCCUGCUCUUCUCCUGGGAGGAUGAUGAGCUUCCCUCUCUCACUUCUAGAAACUGUGCGAAUGUACAAUUCUUGGUCUCACACUCCGUCAACUUUCUACCUUGCCUGGCAUUACCUGAACUCUCAGACUUUCCAUGGUGGGAGCCUCAGAACUCGGCAGCUCAGCUUUUACAGAGCUCUUAUUUUAUACCAAACAAGAGCUUUCUUUCUGCUCCAUAUACCCACGUGCCAGUCAGUGAUUACCAGGCACCGGGGCCCUGGAAAUCCUAUUGUUUAAAUGGUAACCAAAAUCUUCACAAUCCCUGGUAGAUUGGACCCAAGUCAGUGAUGGGCUAUGGGGCUCUGGAUAAAUCGUUUUUUCCUGCCUAGACCUCAGCUUUCUGAUGUGCAAAAUGAGGGGAAAUGGACCCCAGUCAGAUCAGUGGUUUCCAAAGUGGGGUCUAUAAAGUUGGCAGGAGAAGCCAAUGAGAGAUCUCCAAAGUCUUUAGAAGCUAAAGAAAAUCUCGUUGUUGUCCUGGAAUGAAGAACAUCAAGUCUCUGGCUUUGGGCUGGAAUUAGACCGUCUAGUGUUAGUUCUGUAUAUGGUCUGCCAAUCAGAAAUUCACUGGGGUAGUUAUGUUUGUGGAAAAACAUACAAGUAAAACUAACCAAUGAUUAAUUAGUAAAUACAGUUUGGAAAACAAAAGCUUCUAAAAUAGUACAUCUCUGGUGAAAGACUUGGGAAAUAUCAAAAGGUGUUUGGAGAACAUACACAUGAUAAAAUCUUUAAGAUGUAAGCACAAUAACAUGUCCUCCCUAGAAUGAGUGACAAGGGAAACACUGAGAAACUCAGAGGGAUGCUGCAAGCAUAGUCAGUAUGAUAAAUUAGUAGGAUGUUCAAGGGACACUAAAGACCUAGCACUGACAACCAAAGUGACACUGGGUCUCAUUGACCCCAAACCUGAUUCCAGGAUGGUGGGGUGAUGUGUGGUGGUCAUCUCUUGCUGGAUUCUUCUAAGGCUACCCACAGAGCUCAGGAGCAUGUGACAUGCUGCCUACACACUGCCCCUUCCAUCCCUUCUGCUUCCCGGUCAGCUUCUUCCUGCUACUCAGGGGUCUUGGUUGAGACGGUUCCAGCUGAAGACAGUUCCAUCCUGUUUGAUGCCAAGGGAGUCUGGCAGGUAGAUAUUACUUCACUACAAUGUCUACUCCAUGGGGACUGGGUUUGUUUUUUUUUGUUUGUUUGUGCCUCUUUGGUCUAGUCUGUGCCUGGUGCAUGGUAGGUUUUCAGUCAAUGCAUGUGGAUGACUGAAGGAUUGAACACAGCCCAGAAAGCAUGCAUCUUGACUUUUUUUUUGCAUCUUGACUUUUAAAAGACCUCCUCCUGGGUCAGCAAGAGUAGUCCUAUGGUUGGUGAGGUGGACAUCUGACGUCUCUUUGGCUCCCUCCAUCUUGCUGUCUCAUGAUUCCUGAUGGUCUCUGAUUCAGAUGUGGAUUACUCCAAGCUCAAACCACUUUCCAGUCCAACACUGUUGACUCUGGAUGUUCCCACGAUUUCAGUCUCACAUCCCACACUGGCACUGAUUCCUGUACCUCUGGGUCUGAAUUCCUGUUUACAGUUUUAUUGUCUGUAUUAGUUUCCUAUGGCUGAUGCAACUAAUUACCACAAAUGUGGUGGCUUAACACAACACAGAUUAUCUGGGGGGUCAGGAACCUGAAAUGAGUAUUAAAGGGUUAAAGUCAAAGUGUCAGCUGAGCUGUCUGUGUUCCUUUCUGGAGUCUGCAGGGGACAAUCCAUUCCUCAUCUUCUCCAGUUCUGAGAGGCAGCCAGCACACUUCGGUCUGUGGCUAUUAUCACUCCACUUUCUGCUUCUGUUGUCCCGUGGUCUGCUUCCAUCACCAUUGACUGAUCUUCCUUCAUCCCUCUUCC